UGGAGCAUGUGGUUUAAUUCGAAGCAACGCGAAGAACCUUACCAGGUCUUGACAUCCCGAUGCUAUUUCUAGAGAUAGAAAGUUACUUCGGUACAUCGGUGACAGGUGGUGCAUGGUUGUCGUCAGCUCGUGUCGUGAGAUGUUGGGUUAAGUCCCGCAACGAGCGCAACCCCUAUUGUUAGUUGCCAUCAUUCAGUUGGGCACUCUAGCGAGACUGCCGGUAAUAAACCGGAGGAAGGUGGGGAUGACGUCAAAUCAUCAUGCCCCUUAUGACCUGGGCUACACACGUGCUACAAUGGUUGGUACAACGAGUUGCGAGUCGGUGACGGCGAGCUAAUCUCUUAAAGCCAAUCUCAGUUCGGAUUGUAGGCUGCAACUCGCCUACAUGAAGUCGGAAUCGCUAGUAAUCGCGGAUCAGCACGCCCGCGGUCCGAAUACGUUCCGGCCUU
rnacentral:rRNA from 1 species